GCACUUCUAAGGAGUCCCACAACAGGACGAAACGGCCUUCUAGUGC
rnacentral:hammerhead_ribozyme from 1 species